rnacentral:misc_RNA from 1 species
GAUGAAGAACGUAGCGAAAUGCGAUACGUAAUGUGAAUUGCAGAAUUCAGUGAAUCAUCGAAUCUUUGAACGCAUAUUGCGCUCUCUGGUAUUCCGGAGAGCAUGCUUGUUUGAGUAUCAGUAAACACCUCAACUUCCAUAUCUUUUUUGAAAUGGGAGUUGGACUUGAGUGAUCCCAACGCUUUUCCUCACCGAAAAGUGGCGGGUUACUUGAAAUGCAGGUGCAGCUGGACUUUUCUCUGAGCUAUAAGCAUAUCUAUUUAGUCUGCCUAAAAAACAGAUUAUUACCUUUGCUGCAGCUAUCAUAAAGGAGAUUAGUUCUUGUGCUGACUGAUGCAGGAUUCACAAAGACAGGCUUCGGCCGACUUUGUAAACUCGAUCUCAAAUCAAGUAAGACUACCCGCUGAACUUAAGCAUAUCAAUAAGCGGAGGA